UACGGGGGGAGCAAGCGUUGUUCGGAAUCACUGGGCGUAAAGGGAGUCUAGGCGGUUUGGUAAGUGGGAUGUGAAAUCCCUCAGCUUAACUGGGGAACUGCGUCCGAUACUGGAUGGCUUGAGUUUGGGAGAGGGAUGCGGAAUUCCAGGUGUAGCGGUGAAAUGCGUAGAUAUCUGGAGGAACACCGGUGGCGAAGGCGGCAUCCUGGACCAACACUGACACUGAGGAGCGAAAGCCAGGGGAGCAAACGGG
rnacentral:rRNA from 1 species